ACGGAAGGUCCAGGCGUUAUCCGGAUUUAUUGGGUUUAAAGGGAGCGUAGGCCGUUUGGUAAGCGUGUUGUGAAAUGUCGGGGCUCAACCUGGGCAUUGCAGCGCGAACUGUCAGACUUGAGUGCGCAGGAAGUAGGCGGAAUUCGUCGUGUAGCGGUGAAAUGCUUAGAUAUGACGAAGAACUCCGAUUGCGAAGGCAGCCUGCUGUAGCGCAACUGACGCUGAAGCUCGAAAGCGUGGGUAUCGAACAG
rnacentral:rRNA from 1 species